GAGGGUAUAGCCCAGAAGGAGAGCACAUGCUUAGCAAGCCCGAGGUCCUGGGUUCAAUCCCCAGUACCUCG
rnacentral:tRNA from 1 species